GGUACUGCUACCAGAAGUAGAAAUGGCCCUAGGACCCUACAACCUUCACCCCACUCUGUCUUCCCUUGAAAUAAGCCUGCCACUACAGAAGGGGAGCAGAGCCCAGAGACCUAGAGCUGAAGGGGCAUUUCUAAUCACCGACCUGCCCGGAAGUCUUUCCAAGAGCCCCAAAGUCCAGGAAUCCCCACCAAAGGAUUCAGAAACAGCGCCCACAAUCCAGGGCCCCUCUGAACGGAAUAAUUACCCUGAAGGACUGCUGAAAUACUGAAUGAAAUCGUGAAUGCAGACCAGCCAGCAUGAUGCCUCCUUUUUCCUCCCUAGGGUCCCCUGCCCUCUCACCUUGACCCAAAGGUCCAGGUGCACUUUGUACUGCU